UUUUAGUAAGGCAUAAAAUGUCAUAAAAACGACAUAGUAUAGUAAGACAUAAAAAGUCAUAGUAUAGUAAGGCUUAAAAAGUCAUAAAAAAGUCAUAGUAUGGUAAGGUGUAAACACUCAUAGUAAAGUAAGACAUAAAAAGUCAUAAAAAAGUCAUUGUAUAGCAAGGCAUAAAAAGUCAUAGUAUAGUAAGACAUAAAAAGUCAUAAAAAAGUCAUAGUUUAGUAAGGCAUAAAAAGUCAUAGCAUAGUCAUAAAAAAUUCAUAGUAUUGUAAGACAUAAAAAGUCAUAGUAUAGCAAGGCAUAAAAAGUCAUAGUAUAGUAAAGAAUAAAGUCAUAAAAACAACAUAGUAAAGUAAGGUAUAAAAAGUAAUAAAAAGUCAUAGUAUAUUAAAGGGGACAUAUUAUGCUCCUUUUCAACAAGUUUGAAUAAGUCUCAGAGGUCCCCAUAUCUUUGAAGCUUUUUGCUAAAAAAUCCACUCCGAUCCUAUAUUUCAGCAUGCCUGUAAACCCCUCUUUUUCAGCCCUGUUCAUGGGGGAUGCCGUACAGGCUUCUGGAACCAUGCUCUAAUGUUUACGGUGACUGUGACAGGCAACCUGGCGUCGGUAGCGAUUUGGUUCAACCACACAACUUUUAUCCAGAAUCUGAGCCAGAGGGAGAGGCUGCUGAAGAAGUUCAAACUCUACAACUGCAGCAGGACGUUUCUGAAUGGUGCUCCUGUGGAAACUGUGCAACCAUGCCCACAGAAGCUGUUUGUAAUCAAAUUUGUUUUGAUUACAUUACAUUAAUAAUAAACCAUAGCAUUUACCAUUUGCAAUUCACUGUAGGUUACCAGACGGCUAUGGGAGAUUAAGGAAGAUUUAUCAUGUAUGGUAGACCGUCCUGGGUUGGAGCCGCUCUGCCUCAAUGUGUUCUGCCUGCAACAUGUACCGCACUGACUAUGGUCCUUUACGGUUGAGAGGAAUACACCAAAUCUGGGUCGUCAUUCCAGCCUGCGUGGUCCUGCGCAUCCAUGCCGUGUUUCCUGACGCCACAGGCCGGUACGUGGGUUUUAGACUGGCCCAUGAUA